rnacentral:rRNA from 1 species
GACGAACGCUGGCGGCGUGCUUAACACAUGCAAGUCGAACGAAGUGGCGAACGGGUGAGUAACGAGUAAUCAACCUGCCCUUCAGAGGGGGACAACAGUUGGAAACGACUGCUAAUACCGCAUACUGAAGGAGGGGAUUGCGUCUGCUUGGCGAGUUGGAGGGGUAACGGCCCACCAAGGCGAUGAUCGGUAGCCGGGCGUAGAGGAUGAACGACCACAUUGGGACUGAGACACGGCCCAGACUCCUACGGGAGGCAGCAGUGGGGAAUCUUUCGGAAUGGAGGAAAGUCUGACGGAGCAACGCCGCGUGAGGGAUGACGGCCUUCGGGUUGUAAAGCUCUGUUAAUCGGGACGCGGUACCGGAAUAGAAAGCCACGGCUAACUACGUGCCAGCCGCCGCGGUAAUUC